rnacentral:rRNA from 1 species
AACGAACGCUGGCGGCAUGCCUAACACAUGCAAGUCGAACGGGAUCCUAGCUUGCUAGGUGAGAGUGGCGGACGAGUGAGUAACACGUGGGAAUCUGCCUUUUGGUUCGGGAUAACCGCGGGAAACUGCGGCUAAUACCGAAUGCCCUCGUGAGAGGAAAGAUUUAUCGCCAGAAGAGGAGCCCGCGUCCGAUUAGGUAGUUGGUGGGGUAAAGGCCUACCAAGCCGACGAUCGGUAGCUGGUCUGAGAGGAUGAUCAGCCACACUGGGACUGAGAUACGGCCCAGACUCCUACGGGAGGCAGCAGUGGGGAAUAUUGGACAAUGGGGGGCAACCCUGAUCCAGCAAUGCCGCGUGAGUGAUGAAGGCCUUAGGGUUGUAAAGCUCUUUUGCCAGGGAAGAUGAUGACUGUACCUGGAGAAUAAGCCCCGGCUAACUUCGUGCCAGCAG